rnacentral:rRNA from 1 species
UACGGAGGGAGCUAGCGUUGUUCGGAAUUACUGGGCGUAAAGCGCACGUAGGCGGCUUUGUAAGUUAGAGGUGAAAGCCCGGGGCUCAACCCCGGAACUGCCUUUAAGACUGCAUCGCUUGAAUCCAGGAGAGGUGAGUGGAAUUCCGAGUGUAGAGGUGAAAUUCGUAGAUAUUCGGAAGAAUACCAGUGGCGAAGGCGGCUCACUGGCCUGGUAUUGACGCUGAGGUGCGAAAGCGUGGGGAGCAAACAGG